GGCCAUGCUGUCCUCAGCGAGCAGCACUCCAGGAGGCCCUGUUAGGGCUUUAGGCCUGGAGUAGACACAGAGUGGAGGGAACCCUCCUGUAAGGACCCAGGACUUCUCCUAGCUUGGCUUUCAUCAGGUCUGGAGAUGCCUGUUGAUUUCUUUUUUGGGGUCCAGAGAAAGAGAAGUUCAGAAAAGGAGUUGGGGAAGGAGACAGAAAGUGUACGGUUUCUACAUGUUGGCACUUUGAGCUGGAAUCCACUGAGUGGCUCUCCUGGUCCGGACAUCAGGCUUCAAGUGGCCUGGUCGGGAAUGUAAGUCAC
rnacentral:lncRNA from 1 species